CGUUCUGUUUAAUAUGUUAGCUUUGGUUCCUUUGGGUUCUGAGCUGGAGAGGAUUAUGGGAUCUGUGCGCCUGUUAUACAUAGUUGUUCUGCUGGCCAUUAGCAGUGCCUUAUUCCAUCUUCUUAUAGCAUUGUUUGUUGCUCAUAAUCAUUGCUCUGUUGGCCAUUAGCAGUGCCUUAUUCCAUCUUCUUAUAGCAUUGUUGGUUGCUCAUAAUCCCUUUCAUCCUUCUCCAUACUUUAUGGACGAAUGUGCUAUAGGUUUCUCAGGCAUCUUAUUUUCAAUGAUUGUGAUUGAGACGA
rnacentral:lncRNA from 1 species